rnacentral:rRNA from 1 species
UGCCKUGCAUCGAUGAAGAACGCAGCAAACUGCGAUACUUGGUGUGAAUUGCAGAAUCCCGUGAACCAUCGAGUCUUUGAACGCAAGUUGCGCCCGAAGCCAUUAGGCCGAGGGCACGUCUGCCUGGGCGUCACGCAUCGCGUCGMCCCCCCCACACGCCGACUCAGGCCGUGCGAGGGGGACGGAUAAUGGCCUCCCGUGCUGGCGCGCGGUUGGCCUAAAUGAGAGUCCCUCCCGACGGGCGUCACGACAAGUGGUGGUUGAAUGCCUCAACUCGCAUAGCUGUUGUGUCGGAACCCGUCUGUCGAGCGGACUGCCGUGACCCUUCUCGCCAGCGUCUCUCGGACGCUCGGCAACGACCGCGACCCCAGGUCAGGCGGGACUACCCGCUGAGUUUAAGCAUAUCAAUAGCGGAGGAA